GAUGAAGAACUUAGCGAAAUGCGAUAAGUAGUGUGAAUUGCAGAAUUCAGUGAAUCAUCGAAUCUUUGAACGCACAUUGCGCCCCUCGGUAUUCCGUGGGGCAUGCCUGUUCGAGCGUCAUUUAACCCCUCAAGCCUAGCUUGGUAUUGGGUGCUUGUCCCGCCUCUCGCGCGGCGACUCACCUCAAAGUCAUUGGCAGCCCGCAUCUCGCCGGCCGUGAGCGCAGCACAGACGCGCUCUUGGCAACGACGGAUCGGCUCUCCAAAAGCUUAUUUCAACCACUGACCUCGGAUCAGGUAGGGAUACCCGCUGAACUUAAGCAUAUCAAUAAGCGGAGGA
rnacentral:misc_RNA from 1 species